UACGUAGGGCGCAAGCGUUGUCCGGAAUUAUUGGGCGUAAAGAGCUCGUAGGCGGCUUGUUGCGUCGGCUGUGAAAUCCCGGGGCUUAACUCCGGGCGUGCAGCCGAUACGGGCAGGCUAGAGUCCGGUAGGGGAGACUGGAAUUCCUGGUGUAGCGGUGAAAUGCGCAGAUAUCAGGAGGAACACCGGUGGCGAAGGCGGGUCUCUGGGCCGGUACUGACGCUAAGGAGCGAAAGCGUGGGGAGCGAACAGG
rnacentral:rRNA from 1 species